AGUGAACGCUGGCGGUAGGCCUAACACAUGCAAGUCGAACGGCAGCACAGUAAGAGCUUGCUCUUACGGGUGGCGAGUGGCGGACGGGUGAGGUAUACAUCGGAAUCUACUUUUUCGUGGGGGAUAACGUAGGGAAACUUAUUCUAAUACCGCAUACGACCUACGGGGGUAAGCAGGGGAUCUUCUGACCUGUCGGGAUUGAAAGAGCCGAUGUCGGAUUAGCUAGUUUGCGGGGUAAAGGCCCACCACGGCGACGAUCCGUAGCUGGUCUGAGAGGAUGAUCCGCCACACUGGAACUGAGACACGGUCCAGACUCCUACGGGAGGCAGCAGUGGGGAAUAUUGGACAAUGGGCGCAAGCCUGAUCCAGCCCUACCGCGUGGGUGAAGAAGGACUUCGGGUUCUAAAGCCCUUUUGUUGGGAAAGAAGAGCAGCAGGUUAAUCCCCCGCUGUUAUGACGGUACCCAAAGAAUAAGCACCGGCUAACUUCGUG
rnacentral:rRNA from 1 species